AUCCUACGGGAGGCAGCAGUGGGGAAUAUUGCACAAUGGGGGAAACCCUGAUGCAGCGACGCCGCGUGAAGGAAGAAGUAUUUCGGUAUGUAAACUUCUAUCAGCAGGGAAGAAAAUGACGGUACCUGACUAAGAAGCCCCGGCUAACUACGGGCCAGCAGCCGCGGUAAUACGUAAGGGGCAAGCGUUAUCCGGAUUUACUGGGGGUAAGGGGAGCGUAGGCGGUUUAGCAAGUCAGAAGUGAAAGCCCGGGGCUCAACUCCGGGACUGCUUUUGACACUGUUGAACUAUAUUGCAGGGGAGGU
rnacentral:rRNA from 1 species